rnacentral:tRNA from 1 species
AAUGAAAUGCCUGAAAAAGGAUUAUUUUGAUAGAAUAAAUUAUACAUAUUUUAAAUUUGUUUUCAUUA